UUAGAGUUUGAUCCUGGCUCAGAUUGAACGCUGGCGGCAUGCCUUACACAUGCAAGUCGAACGGCAGCACGGGUGCUUGCACCUGGUGGCGAGUGGCGAACGGGUGAGUAAUACAUCGGAACAUGUCCUGUAGUGGGGGAUAGCCCGGCGAAAGCCGGAUUAAUACCGCAUACGAUCUACGGAUGAAAGCGGGGGACCUUCGGGCCUCGCGCUAUAGGGUUGGCCGAUGGCUGAUUAGCUAGUUGGUGGGGUAAAGGCCUACCAAGGCGACGAUCAGUAGCUGGUCUGAGAGGACGACCAGCCACACUGGGACUGAGACACGGCCCAGACUCCUACGGGAGGCAGCAGUGGGGAAUUUUGGACAAUGGGCGAAAGCCUGAUCCAGCAAUGCCGCGUGUGUGAAGAAGGCCUUCGGGUUGUAAAGCACUUUUGUCCGGAAAGAAAUCCUUGGCUCUAAUACAGUCGGGGGAUGACGGUACCGGAAGAAUAAGCACCGGCUAACUACGUGCCAGCAGCCGCGGUAAUACGUAGGGUGCGAGCGUUAAUCGGAAUUACUGGGCGUAAAGCGUGCGCAGGCGGUUUGCUAAGACCGAUGUGAAAUCCCCGGGCUCAACCUGGGAACUGCAUUGGUGACUGGCAGGCUAGAGUAUG
rnacentral:rRNA from 1 species